UCACACUUCUGCCACCAAGUGCAAGGAGCUUCCUACCUUGGUAGUACAAACGUAUCUACAUACUUGAAGAAUCAGUGGAUUCCUGUGGGGGAUCUGUGGUCCAAUUUUGGCAGAUCAUUCAAUCAUGAAAAUUGUGAAACCAAUAACAAGGCAGAAAGAUUCUUUCUCACAAUUAAAUAUCAGUUCCUGAAAGGAAACGCAAACAGGCGUAUUGACCAGCUCCUUGGCCUGCUGUGUGGAGAUGUUCACAAAUAUUACUGUUACAUGGAUGAGCUGGCGGCAAACGGACGAAUCAAAGGAGCCAAUGCUGAUGACUUCUCUAAUGUUGUCAAGUCUAUGUUUGAGAAGGGUCUGGAUUCAAAAUGUGAAGUUAAUAAAGAGGGCACAUGUUUUGUUCCACCACAUACAAGUACUCAGUCCCACACAGUUGAUUUGGUCAUGGUGAGAUGUGACUGCAAAAGAUCCAAAUGCGGUUCUUUGUGUAAACACAUAGUUUUCUCAAGAUUAGUUGCACAGCAACAAGGAUUAAAUAUUCAAGACAUAAGGUCUAAUCUUGCUAAAAAAAUCGUUAAUUGUCACUCAUAUUUCUCAGAUGAUGAAACCCUAACUGUUUUUCACAGUGACGGCAGUGUAGGGACUAUAAGUCACAAAAGUCCAACAUUUUGUACAUGUAUAGCA